rnacentral:rRNA from 1 species
ACCGGUUGAUCCUGCCAGCGGUCACCGCUCUUGGAAUCCGACUAAGCCAUGCGAGUCGAGAGGGUUCGGCCCUCGGCGCACCGCUCAGUAACACGUGGAUAACCUACCCUGGAGUGGGGGAUAAUCUCGGAAACCUGAGGAUAAUACCCCAUAGGCCUUUGGUACUGGAAUGUUCUUAGGCCCAAAGUUACGGCGCUCCAGGAUGGGUCUGCGGCCUAUCAGGUAGUAGUGAGUGUAAAGGACUCACUAGCCGACAACGGGUACGGGCCAUGGGAGUGGUAGCCCGGAGAUGGAUUCUGAGACACGAAUCCAGGCCCUACGGGGCGCAGCAGGCGCGAAAACUUCGCAAUGCGCGAAAGCGCGACGAGGGGAUUCCAAGUGCAUGCACUUAGUGCAUGCUGUUUGCUAGUCUAAAUAGCUAGUAGAGUAAGGGCUGGGUAAGACUGGUGCCAGCCGCCGCGGUAAUACCAGCGGCCCGAGUGGUGAUCGUUAUUAUUGGGUCUAAAGCGUCCGUAGCCGGCCCGGUAAAUCUCUGGGUAAAUCGUUGGGCUCAACCCAGCGAAUUCUAGGGAGACUGCCGGGCUUGGGACCGGGAGAGGUCGGAGGUACUCCGAGGGUAGGGGUGAAAUCCUGUAAUCCUUGGGGGACCACCGGUGGCGAAGGCGUCCGACCAGAACGGGUCCGACGGUAAGGGACGAAGCCCUGGGGCGCGAACCGGAUUAGAUACCCGGGUAGUCCAGGGUGUAAACGCUGUGCGCUUGGUGUUGGGGGUCCUUUGAGGCAAUCCAGUGCGGGAGAGAA